CCUUGGCUGGCUCAGUCAGUUGAGCAUAUGACUUUUAAUCUUGAAGUUGUGAGUUUGAGCCCCACGUUAGGCA
rnacentral:tRNA from 1 species